rnacentral:rRNA from 1 species
UACGUAGGGUGCAAGCGUUAAUCGGAAUUAUUGGGCCUAAAGCAUCCGUAGCCGGUUCUACAAGUCUUCCGUUAAAUCCAACUGCUUAACAGGUGGGCUGCGGAAGAUACUAUAGAGCUAGGAGGCGGGAGAGGCAAGCGGUACUCGAUGGGUAGGGGUAAAAUCCGUUGAUCCAUUGAAGACCACCAGUGGCGAAGGCGGCUUGCCAGAACGCGCUCGACGGUGAGGGAUGAAAGCUGGGGGAGCAAACAGG